UCGAACGAGAAAGUGGAGCAAUCCAUGAGUAAAGUGGCGACCGGGUGAGUAACACGUGACUAACCUACCCUGAAGUGGGGAAUAACCUCGGGAAACCGGGGCUAAUACCGCAUAACAUCGCGAGCUGUAAACGCUUGUGAUCAAAGGAGCAAUUCGCUUUAGGAGGGGGUCGCGGCUGAUUAGCUAGUUGGUGAGGUAACGGCUCACCAAGGCAAAGAUCAGUAUCCGGCCUGAGAGGGCGCACGGACACACUGGAACUGAAACACGGUCCAGACUCCUACGGGAGGCAGCAGUGGGGAAUUUUGCGCAAUGGGGGAAACCCUGACGCAGCAACGCCGCGUGGAGGAUGAAGUCCCUUGGGAUGUAAACUCCUUUCGAUCGGGACGAUUAUGACGGUACCGGAAGAAGAAGCACCGGCUAACUCUGUGCCAGCAGCCGCGGUAAUACAGAGGGUGCAAGCGUUGUUCGGAAUUAUUGGGCGUAAAGGGCGCGUAGGCGGUGCUGUAAGUCUGUGGUGAAAUCUCUGGGCUCAACUCAGAGUCUGCCAUAGAAACUGCAGUGCUGGAGUGUGGGAGAGGUGAGUGGAAUUCCCGGUGUAGCGGUGAGAUGCGUAGAUAUCGGGAGGAACACCUGUGGCGAAAGCGGCUCACUGGACCACAACUGACGCUGAGGCGCGAAAGCUAGGGGAGCAAACAGGAUUAGAUACCCUGGUAGUCCUAGCCCUAAACGAUGAUUGCUUGGUGUGUCGGGUACCCAAUC
rnacentral:rRNA from 1 species